UACGUAGGGUGCAAGCGUUGUUCGGAAUUACUGGGCGUAAAGCGCGCGCAGGCGGUCUUCCAAGUCAGUGGUGAAAGCCCGGAGCUCAACUCCGGAACUGCCAUUGAAACUGUUUAGCUUGAGGAUGAGAGAGGUGAGUGGAAUUCCCAGUGUAGAGGUGAAAUUCGUAGAUAUUGGGAAGAACACCGGUGGCGAAGGCGGCUCACUGGCUCAUUACUGACGCUCAGGCGCGAUAGCGUGGGGAUCAAACAGG
rnacentral:rRNA from 1 species